AGAGUUUGAUCCUGGCUCAGAUUGAACGCUGGCGGCAGGCCUAACACAUGCAAGUCGAGCGGAUGACAGGAGCUUGCUCCUGAAUUCAGCGGCGGACGGGUGAGUAAUGCCUAGGAAUCUGCCUGGUAGUGGGGGACAACGUUUCGAAAGGAACGCUAAUACCGCAUACGUCCUACGGGAGAAAGCAGGGGACCUUCGGGCCUCGCGCUAUCAGAUGAGCCUAGGUCGGAUUAGCUAGUUGGUGAGGUAAUGGCUCACCAAGGCGACGAUCCGUAACUGGUCUGAGAGGAUGAUCAGUCACACUGGAACUGAGACACGGUCCAGACUCCUACGGGAGGCAGCAGUGGGGAAUAUUGGACAAUGGGCGAAAGCCUGAUCCAGCCAUGCCGCGUGUGUGAAGAAGGUCUUCGGAUUGUAAGGCACUUUAAGUUGGGAGGAAGGGCAUUAACCUAAUACGUUAGUGUUUUGACGUUACCGACAGAAUAAGCACCGGCUAACUCUGUGCCAGCCGCCGCGGUAAUAC
rnacentral:rRNA from 1 species